rnacentral:SRP_RNA from 1 species
CCGCGCUAGUCGGGGAGUUAGCGGUGCCCUGUAUCUGCAACCCGCUAUAGCAGGGAUGAAUCCCGGCCCCCGGAGACAAAAUGUACUGACUGCCCCAUAUAAGCAGCGAUGAUGGAUUGGUCCUGCGCAACGCAGCCCCGUGAACCGUGUCAGGCGGGGAACCGAGCAGCACUAAGCGGACCGCUGCGUGUGCCGCGGGGGUGCCGGUCUUGAGCCGGCUGUAUGGGUAACGGGUAUAUUUUGUGCUUCAAAGGCCGGUGCGCGG